rnacentral:rRNA from 1 species
GAUCAUGGCUCAGGACGAACGCUGGCGGCGCGCCUAACACAUGCAAGUCGAACGGAGUUAAGAGGAGCUUGCUUUUCUUGACUUAGUGGCGAACGGGUGAGUAACGCGUGAGUAACCUGCCCUGGAGUGGGGGACAACAGUUGGAAACGACUGCUAAUACCGCAUAAGCCCACGGAUUCGCAUGGAUCUGCGGGAAAAGGAUUUAUUCGCUUCAGGAUGGACUCGCGUCCAAUUAGCUAGUUGG